rnacentral:lncRNA from 1 species
UUGGUAUUUAUGUUAAUGGUAGAUUGAUGAUAAUGAUGAGGACCUUAUGUUUUCUAUGAAGCCUUUUUAAAGUCACAUUUAGGAUGAGCGUGUUAAUCAUGGUAGCACCACCCAUAUACAUAUUGGAGGGCCCUAAUGGAGGAAGUAUAUAUACUUAAUAGUUAAUAACUUAAUAUUUAUGGACUAUGUGCAUAUAUAAUAUUAAAAUUUAGAACUAAUAUCAGUUCACAGUUCCAACUAAUUCGGAGGAAGCACAAUUCGCUUUUAAUAUACUAAGGGAUGACUUAUUUUGCCUCUAUCAGUGUUUGCAUGGUAACGGUUGUUACGGUUUUAUAACGAUUAUAUUGUAAUCUGUAUCGUACGUUCUCAACCUCACAAAACAAAUUUAUCCUAAUUUCGGCUAA